rnacentral:rRNA from 1 species
CCUACGGGUGGCAGCAGUAGGGAAUCUUGCUCAAUGGGGGAAACCCUGAAGCAGCAACGCCGCGUGGAGGAUGAAGGUUUUCGGAUUGUAAACUCCUUUUGUUAGAGAAGAUAAUGACGGUAUCUAACGAAUAAGCACCGGCUAAAUCCGUGCAAGCAGCCGCGGUAAUACGGAGGGUGAAAGCGUUACGCUGAAUGAAUGGGCGUAAAGAACGCGUAGGCGGGUUAGCAAGUCAGAUGUGAAAUCCUAUGGCUUAACCAUAGUACUGCAUUUGAAACUGUUAUUCUAGAGUAUGGGAGAGGUAGGUGGAAUUCUGGGUGUAGGGGUAAAAUCCGUAGAGAUUAAGAGGGAUACUCAUUGCGAAGGCGACCUGCUAGAACAUAACUGACGCUGAUGCGCGAAAGCGUGGGGAGCAAACAGGAUUAGAUACCCGUGUAGUC